rnacentral:rRNA from 1 species
UACGUAGAGUGCGAGCGUUAAUCGGAAUUACUGGGCGUAAAGCGUGCGCAGGCGGUUUUGUAAGCCAGGUGUGAAAUCCCCGGGCUCAACCUGGGAAUGGCAUUUGGGACUGCAAGGCUGGAGUGCGGCAGAGGAGACUGGAAUUCCUGGUGUAGCAGUGAAAUGCGUAGAUAUCAGGAGGAACACCGAUGGCGAAGGCAGGUCUCUGGGCUGACACUGACGCUCAUGCACGAAAGCGUGGGGAGCAAACAGG